rnacentral:rRNA from 1 species
AUCUGUGGAUCGAGGAUUCGUCCAAGUGAAGCAGAGGACAGUGGCGGACGGGUGAGUAACGCGUGAGGAACCUGCCUUUCAGAGGGGGACAACAGUUGGAAACGACUGCUAAUACCGCAUGAUACAUUUGGGUGGCAUCAUCUGAAUGUCAAAGAUUUAUCGCUGAAAGAUGGCCUCGCGUCUGAUUAGCUAGUUGGUGAGGUAACGGCCCACCAAGGCGACGAUCAGUAGCCGGACUGAGAGGUUGACCGGCCACAUUGGGACUGAGAUACGGCCCAGACUCCUACGGGAGGCAGCAGUGGGGAAUAUUGGGCAAUGGGCGCAAGCCUGACCCAGCAACGCCGCGUGAAGGAAGAAGGCUUUCGGGUUGUAAACUUCUUUUAAUGGGGAAGAGCAGAAGACUGUCCCCAUAGAAUAAGCCACGGCUAACUACGUGCCAGCAGCCGCGGUAAUACGUAGGUGGCAAGCGUUGUCCGGAUUUACUGGGUGUAAAGGGCGUGCAGCCGGGAAUGCAAGUCAGAUGUGAAAUCCAUGGGCUUAACCCAUGAACUGCAUUUGAAACUGUAUUUCUUGAGUACUGGAGAGGCAAUCGGAAUUCCUAGUGUAGCGGUGAAAUGCGUAGAUAUUAGGAG